rnacentral:rRNA from 1 species
GAAAGACAACAGGGAUUGCCCUAGUAACGGCGAGUGAAGCGGCAACAGCUCAAAUUUGAAAUCUGGCUUCGGCCCGAGUUGUAAUUUGCAGAGGAAGCUUUAGGCGCGGCACCUUCUGAGUCCCCUGGAACGGGGCGCCAUAGAGGGUGAGAGCCCCGUAUAGUUGGAUGCCUAGCCUGUGUAAAGCUCCUUCGACGAGUCGAGUAGUUUGGGAAUGCUGCUCAAAAUGGGAGGUAAAUUUCUUCUAAAGCUAAAUACCGGCCAGAGACCGAUAGCGCACAAGUAGAGUGAUCGAAAGAUGAAAAGCACUUUGAAAAGAGGGUUAAAUAGCACGUGAAAUUGUUGAAAGGGAAGCGCUUGUGACCAGACUUGCGCCGGGCGGAUCAUCCGGUGUUCUCACCGGUGCACUCCGCCCGGYUCAGGCCAGCAUCGGUUCUCGCGGGGGGAUAAAGGUCCUGGGAACGUAGCUCCUCCGGGAGUGUUAUAGCCCGGGGCGUAAUGCCCUCGCGGGGACCGAGGUUCGCGCAUCUGCAAGGAUGCUGGCGUAAUGGUCAUCAGCGACCCGUCUUGAAACACGGACCAAGGAGUCAAGGUUUUGCGCGAGUGUUUGGGUGUAAAACCCGCACGCGUAAUGARAGUGARCGUAKGUGAGAGCUUCGGCGCAUCAUCGACCGAUCCUGAUGUUUUCGGAUGGAUUUGAGUAGGAGCGUUAAGCCUUGGACCCGAAAGAUGGUGAACUAUGCUUGGAUAGGGUGAAGCCAGAGGAAACUCUGGUGGAGGCUCGCAGCGGUUCUGACGUGCAAAUCGAUCGUCAAAUCUGAGCAUGGGGGCGAAAGACUAAUCGAACCAUCUAGUAGCUGGUUACCGCCGAAGUUUCCCUCAGGAUAGCAGUGUUGUCUUCAGUUUUAUGAGGUAAAGCGAAUGAUUAGGGACUCGGGGGCGCUUUUUAGCCUUCAUCCAUUCUCAAACUUUAAAUAUGUAAGAAGCCCUUGUUACUUAAUUGAACGUGGGCAUUCGAAUGUACCAACACUAGUGGGCCAUUUUUGGUAAGCAGAACUGGCGAUGCGGGAUGAACCGAACGCGGGGUUAAGGUGCCGGAGUGGACGCUCAUCAGACACCACAAAAGGCGUUAGUACAUCUUGACAGCAGGACGGUGGCCAUGGAAGUCGGAAUCCGCUAAGGACUGUGUAACAACUCACCUGCCGAAUGUACUAGCCCUGAAAAUGGAUGGCGCUCAAGCGUCCCACCCAUACCCCGCCCUCAGGGUAGAAACGAUGCCCUGAGGAGUAGGCGGCCGUGGAGGUCAGUGACGAAGCCUAGGGCGGA